rnacentral:rRNA from 1 species
UACGGGGGGAGCAAGCGUUGUUCGGAAUCACUGGGCUUAAAGGGCGCGUAGGCGGUUGAUCAAGUCUGGGGUGAAAUCUUUCGGCUUAACCGGAAAAGUGCCUUGGAUACUGGUCAGCUGGAGGGAGGUAGGGGCAGUUGGAACUUCCAGUGGAGCGGUGAAAUGCGUUGAUAUUGGAAGGAACGCCGGUGGCGAAAGCGAGCUGCUGGACCUCUUCUGACGCUGAUGCGCGAAAGCUAGGGGAGCAAACGGG